AGAGGUGUAGCUCAGUGGUAGAGUGCUUGCCUAGCAUGCAGUAGGCUCUGGAUUAGAUGCCUAGCACCACAC
rnacentral:tRNA from 1 species